GAUGAACGCUGGCGGCAUGCCUAAUACAUGCAAGUCGAACGAGAGGAAGGAAAGCUUGCUUUUCUGAAUCUAGUGGCGAACGGGUGAGUAACACGUAGGUAACCUGCCCAUGUGCCCGGGAUAACUUCUGGAAACGGAUGCUAAAACCGGAUAGGUAGCAGACAAGCAUUUGACUGCUAUUAAAGUGGCUAAGGCCAUGAACAUGGAUGGACCUGCGGUGCAUUAGCUAGUUGGUGAGGUAACGGCCCACCAAGGCGACGAUGCAUAGCCGGCCUGAGAGGGCGGACCGCCACAUUGGGACUGAGACACGGCCCAAACUCCUACGUGAGGCAGCAGUAGGGAAUUUUCGUCAAUGGGGGGAACCCUGAACGUGCAAUGCCGCGUGAGUGAGGAAGGUCUUCGGAUCGUAAAGCUCUGUUGUAAGAGAAAAACGACAUUCAUAGGGAAUGAUGAGUGAGUGAUGGUAUCUUACCAGAAAGUCACGGCUAACUACGUGCCAGCCGCCGCAGUAA
rnacentral:rRNA from 1 species